rnacentral:tRNA from 1 species
GGCCCGGUAGCUCAGUGGUAGAGCGAAAGACUGAAAAUCUUUGCGUCGGUAGUUCAAUUCUGCCCCGGGCCACCA